CCGGAGAAGAAUGGAGGUUUAAGCUGCUCCAGAAGUUAUAGGAUUCAGGAAUUAUACUGACUGAAGAAGAGACAAAGAGAUUCAGAGAUUUACAUUUUCUCACACUCUACAUUGUCACCUGGAGUCAGCUCUGUAACCGUGGCCCCAAGUUUUUGUGAUUUACAUUUUCUCACACUACAUUGUCACCUGGAGUCAGCUCUGUAACCGUGGGCCCAAGUUUUUGUGGAAAUGGCUGAGACCGAUUUCCUCAGUGCCAUGGAGAGAACGACAGUGGGGAUCUAUGUUGUGAAAGACACUGCCAGCAGUGAACCCUCUGAUGUCAGGAUAGUCCUCGAAGGUGUGAUGGUGCUUCAAGAUCUUGAGAAUGUAGCACUUGCUUCUGCAAUGUUGUUUGGGCUCUUAUGCCUUGAACAUGCAGCA